GAUGAACGCUGGCGGCGCGCCUAACACAUGCAAGUCGAGCGUGAACCCUGCGAAUGAAACUCGGUCGAUUUGCAGGAGGAAAGCGGCGGACGGGUGAGUAACGCGUAGGUAACCUGCCCCAUACUGAGGGAUAGCCUCGGGAAACCGGGAUUAAUACCUCAUAACACCGUUUGUUCGCAUGGACGAACGGUCAAAGAUUUACCGGUAUGGGAUGGGCCUGCGUCUGAUUAGCUGGUUGGUGGGGUAACGGCCUACCAAGGCGACGAUCAGUAGCCGACCUGAGAGGGUGAUCGGCCACAUUGGAACUGAGACACGGUCCAAACUCCUACGGGAGGCAGCAGUGGGGAAUAUUGCACAAUGGGCGAAAGCCUGAUGCAGCAACGCCGCGUGAGCGAAGAAGGCCUUUGGGUUGUAAAGCUCUGUCGGGUAGGAAGAUAAUGACGGUACUACCCGAGGAAGCCCCGGCUAACUACGUG
rnacentral:rRNA from 1 species